AGCGAACGCUGGCGGCAGGCUUAACACAUGCAAGUCGAGCGGGCGUAGCAAUACGUCAGCAGCAGACGGGUGAGUAACGCGUGGGAACAUACCUCUUGGUUCGGAACAACACAGGGAAACUUGUGCUAAUACCGGAUAAGCCCUUACGGGGAAAGAUUUAUCGCCGAGAGAUUGGCCCGCGUCUGAUUAGCUAGUUGGUGAGGUAACGGCCCACCAAGGCGACGAUCAGAGCUGGUCUGAGAGGAUGAUCAGCCACAUUGGGACUGAGACACGGCCCAAACUCCUACGGGAGGCAGCACUGGGGAAUAUUGGACAAUGGGCGCAAGCCUGAUCCAGCCAUGCCGCGUGAGUGAUGAAGGCCCUAGGGUUGUAAAGCUCUUUUGUGCGGGAAGAUAAUGACGGUACCGCAAGAAUAAGCCCCGGCUAACUUCGUGCCAGCCGCCGCGGUAAG
rnacentral:rRNA from 1 species